UGGUUGGCUUUGAUGCUGUGAUGCGGG
rnacentral:piRNA from 1 species